rnacentral:ncRNA from 1 species
CGUAUUGUCCACACUAAUACGUAUUGUCCACAUCGUUUUUUUACUUAUUCAGUAAAGCGGGGAGCGACCCUCGGGUCCCGUUUCUAGCCUUAAGCGCGGCGCUCUCGGGCGCCGCGCGAUCCGCUCUGAAGACCGUGUCAGGCGGGGAGUUUGACUGGGGCGGUACAUCUGUCAAAGAGUAACGCAGGUGUCCCAAGGUGAGCUCAGCGAGGACGGAAACCUCGCGUAGAGCAAAAGGGCAAAAGCUCACUUGAUUUUGAUUUUCAGUAUGAAUACAGACCGCGAAAGCGUGGCCUAUCGAUCCUUUUGAACUUGCGAGUUUCAAGCAAGAGGUGCCAGAAAAGUUACCACAGGGAUAACUGGCUAGUGGCAGCCAAGCGUUCAUAGCGACGGAGCU